GGAUGAACGCUGGCGGCGUGCCUAAUACAUGCAAGUCGAACGAGUUCUCGUUGAUGAUCGGUGCUUGCACCGAGAUUCAACAUGGAACGAGUGGCGGACGGGUGAGUAACACGUGGGUAACCUGCCCUUAAGUGGGGGAUAACAUUUGGAAACAGAUGCUAAUACCGCAUAGAUCCAAGAACCGCAUGGUUCUUGGCUGAAAGAUGGCGUAAGCUAUCGCUUUUGGAUGGACCCGCGGCGUAUUAGCUAGUUGGUGAGGUAAUGGCUCACCAAGGCGAUGAUACGUAGCCGAACUGAGAGGUUGAUCGGCCACAUUGGGACUGAGACACGGCCCAAACUCCUACGGGAGGCAGCAGUAGGGAAUCUUCCACAAUGGACGCAAGUCUGAUGGAGCAACGCCGCGUGAGUGAAGAAGGCUUUCGGGUCGUAAAACUCUGUUGUUGGAGAAGAAUGGUCGGCAGAGUAACUGUUGUCGGCGUGACGGUAUCCAACCAGAAAGCCACGGCUAACUACGUGCCAGCAGCCGCGGUAAUACGUAGGUGGCAAGCGUUAUCCGGAUUUAUUGGGCGUAAAGCGAGCGCAGGCGGUUUUUUAAGUCUGAUGUGAAAGCCCUCGGCUUAACCGAGGAAGCGC
rnacentral:rRNA from 2 species